GCUAGGGACAGUGGGAUUCAGAGGGCUGGGCCACUAGUGUUAGGAUGCCAGGACCUGAAGGGUUCCUUAUUAAGUAAUAGGGAGUGAGGCAAGACCUAACCUCCCUGGUUGUUUAUACUAAAGACAGUGAUCUUUCUUUUAUGUAGAUCUUUGUUUUUGAGCUACCUGAAUAAAAGGUAUUUGUUGUUUUUUGCACAAGCCUUGGGUCGGUCGUCGGUAGAUAUUUAUAGCAGAGUAUAUUCUAGCAAGUCUCCUGUUACAAAUGGCACCUGAACAUGGAUCCUUCUGCUAGUCGUGACACACAUGGCAGAGGACCCAACAGCCGCAAGGUAGCGGCACACAUACCAGUGAACUCCAGACCAAGCUGAAUUCGUGGGCAUCAGUACCAGACCAAGGAUGUUGUGAGUAGUGGUUAAAACCAACUCCACAGGUACGAAAGAGAGCCAGCACAGCCAGGUCACAAACCACACAGGCAAGAGAUGCGGAUGCUGGCGAUGCAGGAACUUCAUCAUCACACCGCACUCCACUAAGACAACAUUCGUAGGGGUCUGGCAGUCUCCAGAAGAUGGGUAGUAAGAGACUCCGUCUUGAGUCCGUACCUACACCCGCAUCCUCACCACCACAACGGCGCAUCUCAACUGUGUUGCCUCAGCCACCCGAUGCCAUUUUGGCCAGUCCACAAACCGAUGAGCCUCAAUCCCCUCAGC